rnacentral:rRNA from 1 species
AGAGUUUGAUCAUGGCUCAGAACGAACGUUGGCGGCGUGCUUAACACAUGCAAGUCGAACGAGAAAGUUUUCUUCGGAGAACGAGUAAAGUGGCGCACGGGUGAGUAACGCGUAAGUAAUCUACCCUUGCAUCUGGAAUAACUACGGGAAGCUGUAGCUAAUACCGGAUACGUUCAUAGAGUUACGACUCUAUGAAGAAAGAUGACCUCUUCUUGAAAGUUAUCGUGCAGGGAGGAGCUUGCGUACCAUUAGCUAGUUGGUAGGGUAAUGGCCUACCAAGGCAACGAUGGUUAGCGGGUCUGAGAGGAUGAUCCGCCACACUGGAACUGGAACACGGACCAGACUCCUACGGGAGGCAGCAGUGAGGAAUAUUGCGCAAUGGGGGCAACCCUGACGCAGCGACGCCGCGUGGAUGAUGAAGGCCUUCGGGUCGUAAAAUCCUGUCAGAUGGGAAGAAAUGUAUGUAGGAAUAAUACCCUAUGUGCUUGACGGUACCAUCAAAG